rnacentral:rRNA from 1 species
UGCUCCCUGAUGUUAGCGGCGGACGGGUGCAGUAACACGUGGGUAACCUGCCUGUAAGACUGGGAUAACUCCGGGAAACCGGGGCUAAUACCGGAUGGUUGUUUGAACCGCAUGGUUCAGACAUAAAAGGUGGCUUCGGCUACCACUUACAGAUGGACCCGCGGCGCAUUAGCUAGUUGGUGAGGUAACGGCUCACCAAGGCGACGAUGCGUAGCCGACCUGAGAGGGUGAUCGGCCACACUGGGACUGAGACACGGCCCAGACUCCUACGGGAGGCAGCAGUAGGGAAUCUUCCGCAAUGGACGAAAGUCUGACGGAGCAACGCCGCGUGAGUGAUGAAGGUUUUCGGAUCGUAAAGCUCUGUUGUUAGGGAAGAACAAGUGCCGUUCAAAUAGGGCGGCACCUUGACGGUACCUAACCAGAAAGCCACGGCUAACUACGUGCCAGCAGCCGCGGUAAUACGUAGGUGGCAAGCGUUGUCCGGAAUUAUUGGGCGUAAAGGGCUCGCAGGCGGUUUCUUAAGUCUGAUGUGAAAGCCCCCGGCUCAACCGGGGAGGGUCAUUGGAAACUGGGGAACUUGAGUGCAGAAGAGGAGAGUGGAAUUCCACGUGUAGCGGUGAAAUGCGUAGAGAUGUGGAGGAACACCAGUGGCGAAGGCGACUCUCUGGUCUGUAACUGACGCUGAGGAGCGAAAGCGUGGGGAGCGAACAGGAUUAGAUACCCUGGUAGUCCACGCCGUAAACGAUGAGUGCUAAGUGUUAGGGGGUUUCCGCCCCUUAGUGCUGCAGCUAACGCAUUAAGCACUCCGCCUGGGGAGUACGGUCGCAAGACUGAAACUCAAAGGAAUUGACGGGGGCCCGCACAAGCGGUGGAGCAUGUGGUUUAAUUCGAAGCAACGCGAAGAACCUUACCAGGUCUUGACAUCCUCUGACAAUCCUAGAGAUAGGACGUCCCCUUCGGGGGCAGAGUGACAGGUGGUGCAUGGUUGUCGUCAGCUCGUGUCGUGAGAUGUUGGGUUAAGUCCCGCAACGAGCGCAACCCUUGAUCUUAGUUGCCAGCAUUCAGUUGGGCACUCUAAGGUGACUGCCGGUGACAAACCGGAGGAAGGUGGGGAUGACGUCAAAUCAUCAUGCCCCUUAUGACCUGGGCUACACACGUGCUACAAUGGACAGAACAAAGGGCAGCGAAACCGCGAGGUUAAGCCAAUCCCACAAAUCUGUUCUCAGUUCGGAUCGCAGUCUGCAACUCGACUGCGUGAAGCUGGAAUCGCUAGUAAUC